rnacentral:rRNA from 1 species
UACAGAGGGUGCAAGCGUUAAUCGGAAUUAUUGGGCGUAAAGGGCUUGUAGGCGGUUAGAUAAGUUAGAUGUGAAAACCCUGGGCUCAACCUGGGGCUGGCAUUUAAUACUGUUUAGCUAGAGUAUAGGAGAGGAGAAGGGAAUUUCUGGUGUAGCGGUGAAAUGCGUAGAUAUCAGAAGGAACAUCAGUGGCGAAGGCGCUUCUCUGGCCUAAUACUGACGCUGAGGAGCGAAGGCGUGGGGAUCAAACAGG